UAAUUAUUAAGCUCUAACUUAUAUUUUGGAAAUGUACAUCCAGCAGUUUUUUUUCCUUUAGAUUUUUUGGGGGGGCCCAAGAGUGUGGGGCCCUAAAAGCUAUAGUUUGUUUAGCUUAUAUGUAAAUCCAACACUGGUCUCAGUGCAUGUGCAUGGAUCUCAACCCGGUCCUAAACCCCAAAGCUAAGGGCCAACUCGUCUUUCUGCUGCCUUCAGCCACAAAGCAGAGCUCUGGUGAACCUCCGCCAUGGCAGAAGCGGUGUGAAGGUGUGAAGUCAGAGCUGGUGGAUUCUGGGCAGUUCUCCCAUUGGUAGAGUCAGAUCCAAAAGCCCCCACCAUCCUCUGGGCCCUCAGCUGCACAAGCCUGAAGCUGGCACAGGAAUAGAAACAAAGUAAAAAAACAACAACCCACCACAACUUUCCAUCCUGAUUGGCGAACGCCAGCAGGGCUUCGUAAGUGAAUAAGUUCCCGGAGUUACUAGCCCACAUUUUUCACUAGCCAGUUUGGUUAACAAUUGUCACCUUUUUAUUGCUCGUAUCUUCCUCUUCUGCAAAAAUGUACCCAGGAGAGCCUGCAUGGCAGAAUCGUGAAACCAUCCAAUAUAACCGUGAGAGUGCAAAGACGGGCCGAUUUUCCCGAAGCUGUGACAAAAGCCUUAUAACCAACAUGUUCUAAUUGAAACAAGAGCCGAAACAGGCCGCAAUAAAACCCGGCGUCGCACGUUUCUGGUGAGCAAAACAAACCUCGUUGAAUUUAAUGUGCGGUUAAAAAUCUGCACUAAGAACAUAAGCCUGGCAGGAUAAGGCCAAUGGCCCCUCUACUCUAGCAUCCUGUUCUCUCAGUGGUCAACCGGGUGCCUGUGGGAAAGCAGCAAACAGGAUCUGAAUGCAAGAGCCCUUUCCCUUCCUGCAGUUUCCAGCAACUGGUACUCAGAAGGGUUGCUGCCUCUUGACUGUGGAGGCACAGAAUAGCCAUCAUGGCUAGCGGCCUUCAAUAGCCUUCUCCUCCAUGAAUUUGUCUCAUCCUCUUUUAAAGCUAUUGAAGUUGGUUACCAUUACCGUACAUCAUUACUGCCUCCUGUGGCAGUGAGUUCCAUGGUUUAACUAUGUGCAUGAAUACACUCAGAAGUCAUUAUCUGAAAAGUGGUGUGUGUGUGUGUGUGUGUGUGUGUGUCUAUGUGGCUGAAUCACCAUCAAUCUGCUACAAGCCUAUCUCCCAGAGCAGUGCUUUCAAUCUUGGGUAUCGCAAUAUUGUUGGAUCACAAGGAUAGGGAUCAUUCUUCGGCCCAAGGUCUGCAUUUCCUUCUGGGCAACCUUCCAAGGCCACAUGCCAGUGAUGGGCUUUGGUUGAGAUCCCUGCAUUGCAGGGGGUUGGACUAGAUGGCCCUUGGGGUCCCUUCCGAUUCUACAAUUCUAUGAUUGGAAUCUAUACUUCUCCCAGUUUUGCAGGGCAGUUCUCCAGCUAGUUGAUGUGCACAAAAAUGCGUAUACUGGGGUCAAGUGUGUGUACGAAUAGAUAUACAGUUAUACCUCGGGUUACAGACGCUUCAGGUUACAGACUCUGCUAACCCAGAAAUAGUACCUCAGGUUAAGAACUUUGCUUCAGGAUGAGAACAGGAUGAGAACACUGCGGUGGCGCAGUGGCAGUGGGAGGCCCCAUUAGCUAAAGUGGUACCUCAGGUUAAGAACAGUUUCAGGUUAAGAACGGACCUCCAGAACGAAUUAAGUUCUUAACCCGAGGUACCACUGUAUUGGUGAAAACAAUGUACAAAAGUGCAAUAGGGGGUAACUGCUUUGCAGACGUGUGUGUACAUUUGGUGAUAUUGCCUACCAAAAACAGGACAGGGGGAGAAAUUCACACUAAGGCGCUGGUGAAUUUUCAUGAGGUAUUCAUAAACCGAUGCAGGAAUUGUGGAGAACCAAAUUGAAGGUUGGGGGAAAAAAGAGGCAUGUAAAGCAUUGUAGAACAGAAUUGUGGAGUUGGAAGGGAUCUCGUCUAGUCCAACGCCCUGCAAUGCAGGAAUCAAAGAGAAACUGAAAUGGACAGAUUCACCAAUCCUUCAGAUGAAUUCAAUAAUUUCCUACCUCAUCUGCACUCAGUGGCAUGAAGAAGACUUUGUGGCAGAUGUCAGUGGCCCUUCUCAGCAAGAGGCGGAAGAGAGUCACCUGUUCCAACCAGGUUGUUUUACUACAUUAACAAUGCAGGCCUAACUACGUCUACUCAGAAGCAGGUCCUGUUGAAUUCAAGGGGACUUACACUCAAGCUGGAAUGCAGACUAAUCUAUGGGUUUCCCCCACUCUUAAAUUCAGUUCCCCUUAUAUCUGCACAUGUUCAUGAUUUAUUAUUUUUAAAAAUUGUAUGCAUUUUUCUCCCUUUCCCCCUUAAGGUAUACCCUUUUGAACACAAUUUUACUUGUUGUAUGCACUUCCCCCCAAGCAAUUCAGCCCCAUCUUUGUGAUUUUCUCUGACAUAUGCAUUUCUUUCCUUUCCUUGCCUUCGGGUUUUUCCCCAUGCAUUCUUUGGUAUGGGGAGGGCAUUGUAAAAACUGAGAUGGGUGAAUAGCCGUGCUUUGGUUUGCUGAUUAGUUUGGGGGAUGCAGAUGUGGUAGCUUUGCAUUAAAAUGUGACUUGAACACACCUUUCUUCCCUUAACUUUCAUUCCCAGCUAAGUGGGGUUGGGAUUGCACCCUAAGGGAUCUAAUAAAGCCUUCACCCCCUAUAGUUAGACCAUUAAAUCCAGAGUAGAAAAUUCCCUUUGCCACUUAUCUUCUAAAGCAUUUGGUGCUAAGAGGACAGGUUCUCUCAAGCAAAGGAUUUGUUGUUGCCGCAGGUGGGGUAGCCUGUGUUUCAACUCGUAAGUUUGAUGCAAAGGUACCAGAUUCUGUUCUUUGCAAGCUAUGGGAAGGGGGUUGCCAUAAAUCCAGAUGGAUUCAAAGACACUACAUUUUUUCGCAGAAAACAUUGCAUGAAUUCAGCCUGAGGACCUGGGCAGCAAGAUGUUCUCAGAAUCAAAUCCUACUGAGCUCAAUCCAAUUCACUCCUAGGGAAGCAUUUCUAGGACUGCCAAAUCUUUCCAUGUGACUUUGAUUUAUGUGAAGUUACCGUACAUUCGCAAAGGAUGAGCAAAGGAUGAGUGAAAGAAACCCAGAGGAAUUCAGCUUGCAAACAUACACAUUAGGCCAUCGUUGUUUGGAAUAGGAAGACGUGUGCAGAGGGACAGUAAGUGUGUUUACUCAGAAGUGAGUCUCACUCAGUGCAAUGGCACUUGCUCCCUGGCAAAGUGCUGAGAAUCUCUGCUUUAAUUACCUCCCCUUGCAGAUUCCCUACCAUCCUGCUCAGCAAAACUUUUCUGGAUGAUCAACUGCAUAGCAGCUACGUGCAGAGAGAGAGAGAGAGAGAUCAGAGGAAGCAAUUAGCAAGGACAAAAACAGAAAUGUCAGCUGCAGCAAGGAAAACCAUCAAAUGAGCCAUUUUGUGAGCAAGUGGCUAGUCCUCAUGAGGCAGAAGGGAACGUUCUGCUACAGAAAGAUUUUUGGAAACAUAUCCUCUUGUAUAAAGAAAAUUCUUCUUUUCCUUCUUUGCAAACAGUGGCACUGGUCCGUAGGACAAGACUUUGGGGUAGAGGUCUGGGGGCCCAGGCCAGCAGAAUGAGCAGGAGGGUUCUCAGAACAGCAGGGUCUGGCUUAUUCCAUGUUGAUGCUAAGUGAAAUAAUCCCCAUGUCUACAGUCCAAAAUCAACUAACUGCUUCACUGUUUGCAAACCCUUCUUUAUGCAUACUCAAAUCUCUCUCUCUCUCUUUCUUUCUGGAACAUAUGUGCCCAUCCAUGGAUAAGGAUGGAGGAGAACUCAAGUUUGCACUUCCCAAAGCAGCACACACACACACUGAACUACAGAUAUCCUUUGAAAUGUGCACUUCUCUGAGUUCUGCAACGUUUUCCCCAAGGAUUUUUUAAAAAUGGGAAGUAUUAGAGGAAAGCCUGCCUAAAAAUCCACUUAUUAGUAAAAAUGGCAUACAAAGAUGCACUUUAUUAGGGGAGACCAGUUUGCAAAAAUGUGUAUAUUAGGCAAAAUUGCAUACAGAGACAAGUACACAGUAAAAUGCUGAUCAGUGCUGCAGUCAAGGUUAGUUCUGCUCAAAGCAGAACCAUCAAAAUUAAUGACCAUGACCAACUUAGGUUCAUUAAUUUCUACUCUAAGUAGAACUUAGUUGGAUUUAUAUGUAUGUGUGUGUGUGUGUGUGUGCAUGCACACGCAAACUGAGGCAGAAAUGUAACCAGCUGACUGGAGAAAUGAGAAAUGAAUUAAGAGAUCUAGCCUCCCCUGUCGACAGAUGCAUCAGUCUACUUUGAAGCCUUGCACAUUCCAACCGAUCGCCUUAUAUCCACACUAAUAACACUAAUCCCUAACAAUUGUAUCAAUAUUUAGCAGCAGCGCCUUGCCUUUCCAGUGUCCCACACCCAUUGCCUCAAGCACCAGUAGGUAAGCCUCGUAAAAAUCCCAUUAUUGUUAUCUCUACAUUGCAACAGUGGGUGGGUGGGGACUUGUAGCACAAGGAUGGUGGUUUGCCUGGGGGCAGCAGGCAGAUGACCAGCAACUUGGGGAGCAACUGCAGCUCAGUCCUAAAGCACAUGGAGAUGGUCCGAAGGUCAGGUAACAAAAGCCUCUCUUAGCUCAAGAACCCCAGGGAGUCACUCCUGGUCACAGCAGACAAUCUAAGGCUAUGUAGACAAAGUUUGUUCCUGCAUUGCAGGUGGUUCGCCUAGAUGACCCUUGGGGUCCUUUCCAAUUCUACUAUGAUUCUAAGUCUGAACUGGUACAAGCCAGCUUCCUUACUUCCCAACACUGAGUGCCAGUGUGGUGUAGUUGUUAGUGCUAGACUAGGACCUGAAGGAGCAUAUACCUGAAGGAGCGUCUCCACCCCCAUCAUUCUGCCUGGACACUGAGGUCCAGCGCCGAGGGCCUUCUGGCGGUUCCCUCACUGCAAGAAGCCAAGUUACAGGGAACCAGGCAGAGGGCCUUCUCGGGAGUGGCAUCUGCCCUGUGGAACGCCCUCCCACCAGAUGUCAAAGAGAAGAACAACUACCAG